rnacentral:rRNA from 1 species
UACAGAGGUCUCAAGCGUUGUUCGGAUUCAUUGGGCGUAAAGGGUGCGUAGGCGGUAGGGUAAGUCUGGUGUGAAAUCCUGGAGCUUAACUUCAGAAAUGCACUGGAUACUGCCCUGCUAGAGGACUGGAGAGGAGAUUGGAGUUCACGGUGUAGCAGUGAAAUGCGUAGAUAUCGUGAGGAAGACCAGUGGCGUAAGCGAAUCUCUGGACAGUUCCUGACGCUGAGGCACGAAGGCCAGGGGAGCAAACGGG